rnacentral:rRNA from 1 species
GAUGAACGCUGGCGGCGUGCCUAAUACAUGCAAGUCGAGCGAACGGACGAGAAGCUUGCUCCUCUGAUGUUAGCGGCGGACGGGUGAGUAACACGUGGAUAACCUACCUAUAAGACUGGGAUAACUUCGGGAAACCGUAGCUAAUACCGGAUAAUAUUUUGAACCGCAUGGUUCAAAAGUGAAAGACGGUUUUGCUGUCACUUAUAGAUGGAUCCGCGCUGCAUUAGCUAGUUGGUAAGGUAACGGCUUACCAAGGCAACGAUGCAUAGCCGACCUGAGAGGGUGAUCGGCCACACUGGAACUGAGACACGGUCCAGACUCCUACGGGAGGCAGCAGUAGGGAAUCUUCCGCAAUGGGCGAAAGCCUGACGGAGCAACGCCGCGUGAGUGAUGAAGGUCUUCGGAUCGUAAAACUCUGUUAUUAGGGAAGAACAUAUGUGUAAGUAACUGUGCACAUCUUGACGGUACCUAAUCAGAAAGCCACGGCUAACUACGUG